UACGAAGGGUGCAAGCGUUACUCGGAAUUACUGGGCGUAAAGCGUGCGCAGGCGGUUCGUUAAGUCAGAUGUGAAAGCCCCGGGCUCAACCUGGGAACUGCAUUUGAAACUGGCGGGCUUGAGUAUGGCAGAGGGGGGUGGAAUUCCGCGUGUAGCAGUGAAAUGCGUAGAGAUGCGGAGGAACACCGAUGGCGAAGGCAGCCCCCUGGGCCAAUACUGACGCUCAGGCACGAAAGCGUGGGGAGCAAACAGG
rnacentral:rRNA from 1 species